rnacentral:rRNA from 1 species
AGCAUAUCAAUAAGCGGAGGAAAAGAAACCAACAGGGAUUGCCCUAGUAACGGCGAGUGAAGCGGCAACAGCUCAAAUUUGAAAUCUGGCCCUCGGGUCCGAGUUGUAAUUUGUAGAGGAUGCUUUUGGCGCGGUGCCUUCCGAGUUCCCUGGAACGGGACGCCUUAGAGGGUGAGAGCCCCGUACGGUUGGACACCAAGCCUCUGUAAAGCUCCUUCGACGAGUCGAGUAGUUUGGGAAUGCUGCUCUAAAUGGGAGGUAAAUUUCUUCUAAAGCUAAAUAUUGGCCAGAGACCGAUAGCGCACAAGUAGAGUGAUCGAAAGAUGAAAAGCACUUUGAAAAGAGGGUUAAAUAGCACGUGAAAUUGUUGAAAGGGAAGCGUUUGCGACCAGACCUUUUCCUAGGGGAUCAUCCGGUGUUCUCACCGGUGCACUUCCCUAGGUUCAGGCCAGCAUCGGUUUCUGUAGGGGGAUAAAAGCUCUGGGAACGUAGCUCCCUCGGGAGUGUUAUAGCCCUCUGCAUAAUACCCUUACGGGGACCGAGGACCGCGCUUCGGCAAGGAUGCUGGCGUAAUGGUCGUCAACGACCCGUC